GACGAACGCUGGCGGCGUGCUAAUACAUGCAAGUCGAACGCUUCUUUUUCCACCGGAGCUUGCUCCACCGGAAAAAGAGGAGUGGCGAACGGGUGAGUAACACGUGGGUAACCUGCCCAUCAGAAGGGGAUAACACUUGGAAACAGGUGCUAAUACCGUAUAACAAUCGAAACCGCAUGGUUUUGAUUUGAAAGGCGCUUUCGGGUGUCGCUGAUGGAUGGACCCGCGGUGCAUUAGCUAGUUGGUGAGGUAACGGCUCACCAAGGCCACGAUGCAUAGCCGACCUGAGAGGGUGAUCGGCCACAUUGGGACUGAGACACGGCCCAAACUCCUACGGGAGGCAGCAGUAGGGAAUCUUCGGCAAUGGACGAAAGUCUGACCGAGCAACGCCGCGUGAGUGAAGAAGGUUUUCGGAUCGUAAAACUCUGUUGUUAGAGAAGAACAAGGAUGAGAGUAACUGUUCAUCCCUUGACGGUAUCUAACCAGAAAGCCACGGCUAACUACGUGCCAGCAGCCGCGGUAAUACGUAGGUGGCAAGCGUUGUCCGGAUUUAUUGGGCGUAAAGCGAGCGCAGGCGGUUUCUUAAGUCUGAUGUGAAAGCCCCCGGCUCAACCGGGGAGGGUCAUUGGAAACUGGGAGACUUGAGUGCAGAAGAGGAGAGUGGAAUUCCAUGUGUAGCGGUGAAAUGCGUAGAUAUAUGGAGGAACACCAGUGGCGAAGGCGGCUCUCUGGUCUGUAACUGACGCUGAGGCUUAUCGCGUGGGGAGCAA
rnacentral:rRNA from 1 species